rnacentral:rRNA from 1 species
UACGUAGGGGGCGAGCGUUGUCCGGAAUUAUUGGGCGUAAAGAGCGUGUAGGCGGUUCGGUAAGUCUGCCGUGAAAUCCUGGGGCUCAACCCCGGGCGUGCGGUGGAUACUGCCGGGCUAGAGGGUGGUAGAGGCGAGUGGAAUUCCCGGUGUAGCGGUGAAAUGCGCAGAUAUCGGGAGGAACACCUGUGGCGAAAGCGGCUCACUGGACCACAACUGACGCUGAGGCGCGAAAGCUAGGGGAGCAAACAGG